GAUGAACGCUGGCGGCGUGCCUAAUACAUGCAAGUCGAGCGAACGGACGAGAAGCUUGCUUUUCUGAUGUUAGCGGCGGACGGGUGAGUAACACGUGGAUAACCUACCUAUAAGACUGGGAUAACUUCGGGAAACCGGAGCUAAUACCGGAUAAUAUUUUGAACCGCAUGGUUCAAAAGUGAAAGACGGUCUUGCUGUCACUUAUAGAUGGAUCCGCGCUCCAUUAGCUAGUUGGUAAGGUAACGGCUUACCAAGGCAACGAUGCAUAGCCGACCUGAGAGGGUGAUCGGCCACACUGGAACUGAGACACGGUCCAGACUCCUACGGGAGGCAGCAGUAGGGAAUCUUCCGCAAUGGGCGAAAGCCUGACGGGGCAACGCCGCGUGAGUGAUGAAGGUCUUCGGAUCGUAAAACUCUGUUAUUAGGGAAGAACAUAUGUGUAAGUAACUGUGCACAUCUUGACGGUACCUAAUCAGAAAGCCACGGCUAACUACGUG
rnacentral:rRNA from 1 species